AUUGAACGCUGGCGGCAGGCCUAACACCUGCAAGUCGAGCGAGCGGCGGACGGGUGAGUAAUGUAUGGGGACUGCCCGAUAGAGGGGGAUAACUACUGGCAACGGUGGCUAAUACCGCAUACUAUCGGAUAACCCAUAUGGGAUUAGCUCGUAGGUGGGGUAAAGGCUCACCUAGGCGACGAUCUCUAGCUGGUCUGAGAGGAUGAACAGCAACACUGGAACGGAGACAUGGCCCAGACUCCGACGGAGGCAGCAGUGGGGAAUAGUGCACAAUGGGCGCAAGCCUGAGUCAGCGAUGCCGCGUGUAUGAAGAAGGCCUUAGGUUUGUAAAGCACGUUCAGCGGGGAGGCGUUACCCGAAGAAGAAGCACCGGCUAACUCCGUGCCAGCAGCCGCGGUAAUAC
rnacentral:rRNA from 1 species